GACGAACGCUGGCGGCGUGCUUAGCACAUGCAAGUCGAACGGAAAGGCCCUGCUUUUGUGGGGUGCUCGAGUGGCGAACGGGUGAGUAACACGUGAGUAACCUGCCCUUGACCUUGGGAUAACUUCAGGAAACUGGGGCUAAUACCGGAUAGGAGCUCCUGCUGCAUGGUGGGGGUUGGAAAGUUUCGGCGGUUGGGGAUGGACUCGCGGCUUAUCAGCUUGUUGGUGGGGUAGUGGCUUACCAAGGCUUUGACGGGUAGCCGGCCUGAGAGGGUGACCGGCCACAUUGGGACUGAGAUACGGCCCAGACUCCUACGGGAGGCAGCAGUGGGGAAUAUUGCACAAUGGGCGGAAGCCUGAUGCAGCAACGCCGCGUGCGGGAUGACGGCCUUCGGGUUGUAAACCGCUUUCGCCUGUGACGAAGCGUGAGUGACGGUAAUGGGUAAAGAAGCACCGGCUAACUACGUG
rnacentral:rRNA from 1 species